GGUUGUAGGUUAGUGGUAAAGUGCUCGCCUUGCACAUGUGAGGCACUGGGUUCAAUCCUCAGCACCA
rnacentral:tRNA from 1 species